rnacentral:sRNA from 1 species
CAACAAUCGAAAGGAGGUGAUCCAGUGUCUCAUUGUCAUAGCCCGCGGUCGCAGGCGUCGGUGACCUGGAUGCUCGCCUCUGGUGAGGUCUAGGGCGUCUAACGACGCUUGAAUCAGCGGUCCUUCGCGACCGCGGCCGACAAUGGAAGGGCUGCCCGGCAACGGGCGGCCCU